rnacentral:rRNA from 1 species
AACGAACGCUGGCGGCAGGCCUAACACAUGCAAGUCGAACGCCCCGCAAGGGGAGUGGCAGACGGGUGAGUAACGCGUGGGAACGUGCCCUUCGGUUCGGAAUAACUCAGGGAAACUUGAGCUAAUACCGGAUACGUCCGUAAGGAGAAAGAUUUAUCGCCGAAGGAUCGGCCCGCGUCGGAUUAGCUAGUUGGUGAGGUAACGGCCCACCAAGGCGACGAUCCGUAGCUGGUCUGAGAGGAUGANCAGCCACACUGGGACUGAGACACGGCCCAGACUCCUACGGGAGGCAGCAGUGGGGAAUAUUGGACAAUGGGCGAAAGCCUGAUCCAGCCAUGCCGCGUGAGUGAAGAAGGCCUUAGGGUUGUAAAGCUCUUUCAGCGGGGAAGAUAAUGACGGUACCCGCAGAAGAAG